rnacentral:tRNA from 1 species
GCCGGAGUGGCGGAAUGGUAGACGCAGCGGACUCAAAAUCCGCCGGGCCUUGGGUCUGUGGGGGUUCGAGUCCCCCCUCCGGCACCA